ensembl:lncRNA
GGAUUAAUUACAUUAUACCACGAUGGAGGCCGUUGCUAGGUUACAGCAACCGGUCCCUAAGCUCAGCCUACUGCGGGGUUUCCCCAGAACCGGGCAUCUUUGAGCUCGGGGCAGCGCAGAAGGUUGGGUGAGCAGCAGGGCUGGUGAGGCACAGUGCCCCACUGCAGGCAGCACCUGAGUUUCAGUAACCAUUUCAACGCUCACUGCUGGGGGGAAGGAAGCAAAUUCCCACCCCAGGCCUUGGCAAGCCAAAGGAAAAUGUUAUGACCUUACAGGAACAAGAGAAAUAGGGUGAAACGGAGUGCCCUGAAGUGCAGCAUCACCGCACUCCUCACAACUGGCCCUUUUCAUAACUCCUGGGGAAUGACAAAGAGCCACCUGCCAGCUGCGAGCCCACAGCCAGGUACAGCUGUGAACAAGGCGAGCACCAGCCCAGGAUGCUGCAGGAGAUGCACGACAUGGGAAGCAUGAAGUACGAGCCCUGGCACGACCUCAUCUGGUCUGGCACAGCCUCAGAAAGAUGAACUCAAAGCAGAAGCGGUGCCAAGGCCGGCUGCUAGCACAGCAAGGACAGCUCACAGAGCACUGCCACGCAGGGCUGGGGCAGCAGCACCCGAACAGCAGCGCUGGCAAAGGAAAAAAUAAGCAUAAACUGGCCAAGAAUAAAAGUGGACAGCAAUUAUCAGACAGCUCCUCAGUCCGGAGGCAGAAGUAGAGUUUCCUGCAAGGCUGGUGGUAGCAGAGCUGGUCUGCAGGCACGGGAACUGCCAGCACCAGUCCGUCUGUCCUUGUGCUAUUUUUCUACCUGGUAUUUUGGCAAGGAGAUGGAGCGAGGCACAGGUCAGGUACUGAGCCAGUCCUUCAGCUCAGCAGCAGCACCGAGCAGCUUGGUUCUCUUGCAGGGAUGAGUUGUGUGACAGCCACCAACAGAUUAACACCAGCGAGAGCUUUAGCAAGCAGGGCUGGCCACCUGUGCUAAGAGUCGGGCCAUCAGAAGGACAAUGCAGGCACGCUGCCUUUGCCCAGCACUCUGCAGGGUUCGGUGUACGCACAGGGAGCAGUCACACUCGAGGCCACGCGGCUGCAGAGUACGACUUCACUUUGGUCCCAUCACAACAGCUGCAUUAAAUCACGCACAGGGGCUGCCAAUAGCAACAGGAGCUGCUGACCGUCCCGCUGUGCCUUCCCACCCCAGGGAGGAGGGUGGCAACAAAUGCUCCCCACAGUAAAUGCAGGGCACGCAGCUCCCACCCACACCUCAGAUCAGCAGCUAUACCAGCUGCCCCCCAUGCUUGGGAAGCUGGCCCUGUGCAGCAGCAGGCCACAGAUACAGCGAUGGAUUUGCACUUCUCCCUCCUCUCAAUACCAACCGAGACACUGUAUGACAUGCAGCUCCAGCCAGCAUUAAACUGCAAGCGCAGCUCUUCAGCCUCAAGGUUUCUCUCUUU